rnacentral:rRNA from 1 species
AUUGGACGCUGGCGGCAGGCCUAACACAUGCAAGUCGAGCGGAUGAAGAGAGCUUGCUCUCUGAUUUAGCGGCGGACGGGUGAGUAAUGCCUAGGAAUCUGCCUGGUAGUGGGGGAUAACGUUCCGAAAGGAACGCUAAUACCGCAUACGUCCUACGGGAGAAAGCAGGGGACCUUCGGGCCUUGCGCUAUCAGAUGAGCCUAGGUCGGAUUAGCUAGUUGGUGAGGUAAUGGCUCACCAAGGCUACGAUCCGUAACUGGUCUGAGAGGAUGAUCAGUCACACUGGAAAUGAGACACGGUCCAGACUCCUACGGGAGGCAGCAGUGGGGAAUAUUGGACAAUGGGCGAAAGCCUGAUCCAGCCAUGCCGCGUGUGUGAAGAAGGUCUUCGGAUUGUAAAGCACUUUAAGUUGGGAGGAAGGGCAGUAAGUUAAUACCUUGCUGCUUUGACGUUACCGACAGAAUAAGCACCGGCUAACUUCGUGCCAGCCGCCGCCGUAACAC